rnacentral:rRNA from 1 species
CCUACGGGUGGCAGCAGUGGGGAAUAUUGCACAAUGGGGGGAACCCUGAUGCAGCGACGCCGCGUGAGUGAAGAAGUAUCUCGGUACGUAAAGCUCUAUCAGCAGGGAAGAAAAUGACGGUACCUGACUACGAAGCCCCGGCUAACUACGUGCCAGCAGCCGCGGUAAUACGUAGGGGGCAAGCGUUAUCCGGAUUUACUGGGUGUAAAGGGAGCGUAGACGGCACAGCAAGUCCGAAGUGAAAGCUCAAGGCUUAACCAUGGGACUGCUCUGGAAACUGUUGAACUUGAGUACGGGAGGGGUAAGCGGAAUUCCUAGUGUAGCGGUGAAAUGCGUAGAUAUUAGGAGGAACACCAGUGGCGAAGGCGGCUUGCUGGACCGUAACUGACGUUGAGGCUCGAAAGCGUGGGGAGCAAACAGGAUUAGAUACCCUGGUAGUC